rnacentral:rRNA from 1 species
UACAGAGACUGCAAGCGUUAUUCGGAUUUACUGGGCGUAAAGGGUGCGCAGGCGGUUAUGUGUGUGAUGUGUGAAAUCCCAAGGCUCAACCUUGGAAUUGCAUUUCAAACUACAUGACUAGAGCAUUGGAGAGGGUAGCAGAAUUCAUGGUGUAGCAGUGAAAUGCGUAGAUAUCAUGAGGAAUACCAGAGGCGAAGGCGGCUACCUAGACAAUUGCUGACGCUCAGGCACGAAAGCGUGGGGAGCAAAAGGGAUUAGAUACCCCUGUAGUCCACGCCCUAAACGGUGCAUACUAGGUUUUGGAGGAUUCGACCCCUUCAGGGCCCAAGCUAACGCGAUAAGUAUGCCGCCUGAGGACUACGGCCGCAAGGCUA